rnacentral:lncRNA from 1 species
CUGCUUCCAUUCAGCCACAAGAGCAUUAGUGAGGUUGGACACUGAUGUUGGGCGAUUAGGCCUGGCUCGCAGUCAGCGUUCCAAUUCAUUCCAAAGGUGUUCGAUGGGGUUGAGGCUCUGCUCUGAAGGUGUCCAUCUUGUCCAGUGAUCCCCAGUGUGCGGCUGCUGUGGUCUUCCUGGUGGAUUGGUUCCUGUACUGGACAGAUGACGAUCACCAAGCUCCUCCACAGACACUACCCAGAACCCCCAUCGUCCCCAGCUGGUCAUAGGACAGGCCAGGGUCAACUCCAGAUGGCAGUACAAACUGAGCAGUCUCAUCAACACUAGAGGAAACAGCAGAUACAACAGGUUGAUGGGUAUAUCACUAUGAUAGUGAUAGGACCCUUAUACAGGUGGUCAGAUUGGAAGUGCGUGAACAGGUACUGUAAAAACUAGAUAAGGAGAGAAAGACAUCACGUUGUGACGUUAUAU